rnacentral:rRNA from 1 species
CGAGUUGUAAUUUGUAGAGGAUGCUUUUGGUGCGGCGCCUUCCGAGUUCCCUGGAACGGGACGCCGGAGAGGGUGAGAGCCCCGUACGGUUGGACGCCUAGCCUAUAUAUAGCUCCUUCGACGAGUCGAGUAGUUUGGGAAUGCUGCUCUAAAUGGGAGGUAAAUUUCUUCUAAAGCUAAAUACCGGCCAGAGACCGAUAGCGCACAAGUAGAGUGAUCGAAAGAUGAAAAGCACUUUGAAAAGAGGGUUAAAUAGCACGUGAAAUUGUUGAAAGGGAAGCGUUUGCGACCAGACCUUUUCCAGGCGGAUCAUCCGGUAUUCUUACCGGUGCACUUCGCCUGGUCUAGGCCAGCAUCGGUUUCCUUAGGGGGAUAAAGGCCGGGGGAACGUAGCUCUUCUGGAGUGUUAUAGCCCCCGGUGUAAUACCCCUCGGGGGACCGAGGACCGCGCAUCUGCAAGGAUGCUGGCGUAAUGGUCGUCAACGACCCGUCUUGAAACACGGACCAAGGAGUCGAACAUUUGUGCGAGUGUUUGGGUGUUAAACCCUCACGCGUAAUGAAAGUGAACGGAGGUGAGAGCCCUUACGGGCGCAUCAUCGACCGAUCCUGAUGUCUUCGGAUGGAUUUGAGUAAGAGCAUAACUGUUCGGACCCGAAAGAUGGUGAACUAUGCGUGGAUAGGGUGAAGCCAGAGGAAACUCUGGUGGAGGCUCGCAGCGGUUCUGACGUGCAAAUCGAUCGUCAAAUCUGCGCAUGGGGGCGAAAGACUAAUCGAACCAUCUAGUAGCUGGUUACCGCCGAAGUUUCCCUCAGGAUAGCAGUGUUGUCUUCAGUUUUAUGAGGUAAAGCGAAUGAUUAGGGACUC